rnacentral:sRNA from 1 species
GCUAGGCGUGGUGGCUCAUGCCUAUAAUCCCAGCAUUUUGGGAGGCCGAGGCAGGUGGAUCACUUGAGCUCAGGAGUUCGAGAUCAGCCUGGGAAACAUGGCAAAACACUGUCUCUACAAAAAAAUUAAAAUAUUUGCUGGGCAUGGUGGCAUGCGCCUGUAAUCCCAGCUACUUGGGAGGCUCAGGUGGGAGGAUCACUUGAGCCCAGGAUAUUGAGGAUACAGUGAUUCCAGAUUGCACCACUGUACUCCAGCCUGGGCAACAAAGUGAGACCCUGUCUCA